GUUGUUUAGUUGAAAAUUAAUUAAAUAGUUUUCGAUUUUAAGUAGUAUUGACUUUAUCAGCUUGCUGCUUUCUUUUCGGAAAUUAUUUAAUGCACUUUUCAGUUAACAAGUCAACAUCAAUUUCUUUUGUUGUAAAAAGGUAAGAGGAAGGUGGCUUGCGCUUCGGCUCAAGUGUUUAUAGCCUUUUACCCCUGCAAUCGGAGAGAUUGAGGUCUGCAGCGUAGAUCCUUCGGGGUUAGAUACAUUUGUGCUAAGCUAUAGCCUUGUAUAGACAACUUGUUGACUAUGCUCAGUCAUGUAGCUUACUCGCUUAUGCUAUUUUACCUAC
rnacentral:rRNA from 1 species